rnacentral:rRNA from 1 species
GACGUAGGGCGCAAGCGUGUCCGGAUUUAUUGGGCGUAAAGAGCUCGUAGGCGGCUCGUUGCGUCGGCUGUGAAAACCCGCAGCUCAACUGUGGGCUUGCAGCCGAUACGGGCGGGCUGGAGUUCGGUAGGGGAGACUGGAAUUCCUGGUGUAGCGGUGAAAUGCGCAGAUAUCAGGAGGAACACCGGUGGCGAAGGCGGGUCUCUGGGCCGAUACUGACGCUGAGGAGCGAAAGCGUGGGGAGCGAACAGG